rnacentral:rRNA from 2 species
AACUUUCAACAAUGGAUCUCUUGGUUCUGGCAUCGAUGAAGAACGCAGCGAAAUGCGAUAAGUAAUGUGAAUUGCAGAAUUCCGUGAAUCAUCGAAUCUUUGAACGCACAUUGCGCCCUCUGGUAUUCCGGGGGGCAUGCCUGUUCGAGCGUCAUUGCAACCCCUCAAGCUCG